rnacentral:rRNA from 1 species
GAUGAACGCUGGCGGCGUGCCUAAUACAUGCAAGUCGAGCGAACAGACGAGGAGCUUGCUCCUCUGACGUUAGCGGCGGACGGGUGAGUAACACGUGGAUAACCUACCUAUAAGACUGGGAUAACUUCGGGAAACCGGAGCUAAUACCGGAUAAUAUAUUGAACCGCAUGGUUCAAUAGUGAAAGACGGUUUUGCUGUCACUUAUAGAUGGAUCCGCGCCGCAUUAGCUAGUUGGUAAGGUAACGGCUUACCAAGGCAACGAUGCGUAGCCGACCUGAGAGGGUGAUCGGCCACACUGGAACUGAGACACGGUCCAGACUCCUACGGGAGGCAGCAGUAGGGAAUCUGCCGCAAUGGGCGAAAGCUUGACGGAGCAACGCCGCGUGAGUGAUGAAGGUCUUCGGAUCGUAAAACUCUGUUAUUAGGGAAGAACAAAUGUGUAAGUAACUAUGCACGUCUUGACGGGACCUAAUCAGAAAGCCACGGCUAACUACGU